rnacentral:rRNA from 2 species
UGGGGAAUAUUGCGCAAUGGGGGCAACCCUGACGCAGCAAUACCGCGUGAGUGAAGAAGGUUUUCGGAUCGUAAAGCUCUGUUAUUGGGGAAGAAAAAAGACGGUACCCAAGAAGAAAGUCCCGGCUAACUACGUGCCAGCAGCCGCGGUAAUACGUAGGGGACAAGCGUUGUCCGGAUUUACUGGGCGUAAAGGGCACGCAGGCGGUUUUUUAAGUCAGAUGUGAAAGGUACCGGCUCAACCGGUGACAUGCAUUUGAAACUGAAAGACUUGAGUAUUGGAGAGGCAAGUGGAAUUCCUAGUGUAGCGGUGAAAUGCGUAGAUAUUAGGAGGAACACCGGUGGCGAAGGCGGCUUGCUGGACAAAUACUGACGCUGAGGUGCGAAAGCGUGGGGAGCAAACA